ACGCCGAUGGUGAAGCGGUUAUCAUGCUUGCCUUCCACUCGGGGUUAGCAAGCGGCAGGGGUUCGACUCCCCUUCGGCGUA